rnacentral:rRNA from 1 species
AGAGUUUGAUCAUGGCUCAGGACGAACGCUUGCGGCGUGCCUAAGAAAUGCAAGUCGAACGGAUACCUUCGGGUAUUAGUGGCGAACGGUCGCGUAACACGUAAGCAACCUGCCCUAAAGUGGGGGACAACAGUCCGAAAGGACUGCUAAUACCGCAUGUGGAUGUUUGGCGGCAUCGCCUUUCAUCUGAAGUCUUCGGACGCUUUAGGAUGGGCUUGCGGCCUAUCAGGUAGUUGGUGGGGUAAUGGCCUACCAAGCCGACGACGGGUAGCUGGUCUGAGAGGACGAUCAGCCGGAUUGGGACUGAGAUACGGCCCAGACUCCUACGGGGGGCAGCAAUUAGGAAUCUUGCACAAUGGGGGAAACCCUGAUGCAGCGACGUCGCGUGAGGGAUGACGGAUUUCGGUCUGUAAACCUCUUUUGAUAGGGAAGAACUUUGACGGUACCUAUCGAAUCAGCCCCGGCUAACUACGUGCCAGCCGCCGCGGUAAUAC